rnacentral:lncRNA from 1 species
UAUGAUUCGGAUGAUUUUCUUGUGAGGUAUUCAGAAAUAAAUACGUUACAUUAUUUGCUCCUUUAUCUUGAGAUAUAUUGUUCAAUCUCCAAAGAGUGUCUCUUAUGAUCCUUCCUCCUUGGCUGUUAGUAAGGUGGCAUCACAACGUUCUCAUAUUCUGAUCCAUUUGCAAUUUUUGAGCGGAAUUCAUUAUGGAUUUUCACUAUUUCAUUUUGUUCGGAUGGUUUGCUGAUGGUUCUUCUAUGAUAUUUCCCGCAGUCCUUGCUAAUCUUGCCCUAAAUGGAGUCGAUAAUAGUUAAAAACCAAAGAGGAGGAUGCUAGAGUUCCAGUUUAUGUUACCCUAAAUGAACAAAGUGUAUGUUCAUUGCCUAUUUUACAGUAAUCCGUAUCAGCCAGAGCCAUAUAAUAAGUCAAAAGAAGAUUCCAGCAUAGAAAUAAUGUAAUAGAAGAACAUUUUUCGUUUUUAUUAAUUGUCGAAAUCAUAAGAAAUGUUUUGACAUAAGAGCUUCUCCUGUUUAGAUAAAUGAUUGCAGAAUGAUAUAAUGUUACGUUCUUUCUAUUGAUUUUCUUUAGAGUUAUUUAUUCAUUAAUUUAAAUUGAUAUACGGUUAAUAAACUAUUUUUAAAAAUACAUUUUUUUAUUGAA